GCAUCGGUAGUACAACGGCUCAAGCAUGCUCCUCUGGAUAGGGUGAAAUGUGGGUUCGAGUCCCAGCUGACGCG